GCGCGGUGAUCUCAAGAAGUUUCGGACGGAAAGGGAGAGCAGCAGCGACGGGUGAGUAAAGCACAAGGACUUGUCCCGAAGAGGGGGACAACUGUGGGAAACCACAGCUAAUACCCCAUAAGCCGAGAGGUGAAAGCAGCGAUGCGCUUUAGGAGAGACUUGUGUCCUAUCAGGUAGUUGGUGAGGUAACGGCUCACCCAAGCCGAAGACGGGUAGCCGGACUGAGAGGUUGUACGGCCACAUUGGAACUGAGAGACGGUCCAGACUCCUACGGGAGGCAGCAGUGGGGAAUAUUGGGCAAUGGGGGCAACCCUGACCCAAGCGACGCCGCGUGAGGGAAGACAGCCUUCGGGUUGUAAACCUCUGUUGCAGGGGAAGAAGAAAGUGACGGUACCCUGCGAGGAAGCUCCGGCAAACUACGUGCCAGCAGCUGC
rnacentral:rRNA from 1 species